GGGCCUGAGGUCAGUGGCAGAGCUUCUGCCUUGUGAGCAGGAGGCCCCUGGGUUCAAUCCCCAAUGGCAUCUCCA